rnacentral:rRNA from 1 species
GUGAGGUAACGGCUCACCAAGGCAGCGACGGGUAGCUGGUCUGAGAGGACGAUCAGCCACACUGGGACUGAGACACGGCCCAGACUCCUACGGGAGGCAGCAGCAGGGAAUAUUGCACAAUGGGCGAAAGCCUGAUGCAGCGACGCCGCGUGAGGGAUGACGGCCUUCGGGUUGUAAACCUCUUUCAGGAAGGACGAAGCGAAAGUGACGGUACUUCCAGAAGAAGCCCCGGCCAACUACGUGCCAGCAGCCGCGGUAAUACGUAGGGGGCAAACGUUGUCCGGAUUUAUUGGGCGUAAAGAGCUCGUAGGCGGCUCAGCAAGUCGGCCGUGAAAGCCCGAGGCUCAACCUCGGGAGGCCGGUCGAAACUGCUGUGGCUAGGGUCCGGUAGAGGAGAGUGGAAUUCCCGGUGUAGCGGUGAAAUGCGCAGAUAUCGGGAGGAACACCAGUAGCGAAGGCGGCUCUCUGGGCCGGUACCGACGCUGAGGAGCGAAAGCUAGGGGAGCAAACAGGAUUAGAUACCCUGGUAGUCCUAGCCGUAAACGUUGGGCACUAGGUGUGGCGGAUUCAUUGACGUCUGCCGUGCCGUAGCUAACGCAUUAAGUG